GGGUUUGAUCCUGGCUCAGGAUGAACGCUGGCGGUAUGCUUAACACAUGCAAGUCGAACGGGGUGCUACGGCACCUAGUGGCGGACGGGUGAGUAACGCGUGAGAACAUGCCUAUUGAUUGGGGACAACAGUUGGAAACGACUGCUAAUACCGAAUGAGCCUUAGGGUAAAAGAUUUAUCGUCAAUAGAUUGGCUCGCGUCAGAUUAGCUAGUUGGUGAGGUAACGGCUCACCAAGGCGACGAUCUGUACUUGGUCUGAGAGGAUGACCAGGCACACUGGAACUGAGACACGGUCCAGACUCCUACGGGAGGCAGCAGUGGGGAAUUUUCCGCAAUGGGCGCAAGCCUGACGGAGCAAUACCGCGUGAGGGAGGACGGCUUUUGGGUUGUAAACCUCUUUUAUCAGGGAAGAAUCAUGACGGUACCUGAUGAAUCAGCAUCGGCUAACUCCGUGCCAGCAGCCGCGGUAAUACGGAGGAUGCAAGCGUUAUCCGGAAUUAUUGGGCGUAAAGCGUCCGUAGGUGGUGAAUCAAGUCUGUUGUCAAAGCGUGCGGCUCAACCGCAUCCGGGCAAUGGAAACUGAUUUACUUGAGUGCGAUAGGGGUGACAGGAAUUCCCGGUGUAGCGGUGAAAUACGUAGAUAUCGGGAAGAACACCAGCGGCGAAAGCGUGUCACUGGGUCUGCACUGACACUGAGGGACGAAAGCUAGGGGAGCGAAAGGGAUUAGAUACCCCUGUAGUCCUAGCCGUAAACGAUGACAACUAGGUGUGGCUCGUAUCGACCCGAGCCGUGCCGUAGCCAACGCGUUAAGUUGUCCGCCUGGGGAGUACGCACGCAAGUGUGAAACUCAAAGGAAUUGACGGGGGCCCGCACAAGCGUGGAGUAUGUGGUUUAAUUCGAUGCAACGCGAAGAACCUUACCAGGCUUGACAUCCUCGGAAUCCUGCUGAAAGGUGGGA
rnacentral:rRNA from 1 species